rnacentral:tRNA from 1 species
GCUCCAUUAGCUCAGUUGGUAGAGCACCUGGCUCAUAACCGGACGGCCCUGGGUUCAAGUCCCCGAUGGAGCACCA